rnacentral:RNase_P_RNA from 1 species
GGGGGAAAGCAGGCAGUUGCGUCCCGAUUAAUCGGGAUGAGGAAAGUCCGAACUCCACAGAACUAUGCACUUCGUAACACGAAGGCAGCAAAUCCUCUUGGACAAGCUGACGGAUAGUGCAACAGAAAGCAAACAGCCAAUCCGUUCCGGUUUACCGGAAGUCAUGGAGGCAAUGGUGAAACGGCGGAGUAAAAGCCCACCGUCGUUGCGGGUGACCGCAACGGUACGGCAAACCCUGCAUGGAGCAAAGUCAAAUAAGGUAGCAGAUUCCGGGAAACCGGAAUAAAGAGUGGUUCGCUCAAUCGGCAUUUUGCCGAUGUUACCGGGUAGACUGCAGGAAAGUAAUGGCGACAUUGCUUCAAGAUUAAUAACUGCCUCGGAAUAAUCAUUAAUGAUUAAUCCCAAGACAAAAUUCGGCUUAUCGCUUUCUUCCAUCU